CCUACGGGUGGCAGCAGUGAGGAAUAUUGGUCAAUGGGCGCGAGCCUGAACCAGCCAAGUCGCGUGAAGGAUGACUGCCCUACGGGUUGUAAACUUCUUUUGUAAAGGAAUAAAGUGCGGCGCGUGUGCCUUUUUGUAUGUACUUUAUGAAUAGGGAUCGGCUAACUCCGUGCCAGCAGCCGCGGUACUACGGAGGGUCCGAGCGUUAUCCGGAUUGAUUGGGUUUAAAGGGAGCGUAGAUGGGUUGUUAAGUCAGGUGUGAAAGUUUGGGGCUCAACCGUAAAAUUGCAAUUGAUACUGGCAGUCUUGAGUACAGUUGAGGUAGGCGGAAUUCGUGGUGUAGCGGUGAAAUGCUUAGAUAUCACGAAGAACUCCGAUUGCGAAGGCAGCUUACUAAAC
rnacentral:rRNA from 1 species